rnacentral:rRNA from 1 species
UCGGACCUCUAAUCGGAAAAGACUACCCGCUG